AAAUUUUCAAGCGGCGCCAUUCAUUUUGGUUGGGAUCUCUUUUCUUAAGAAAACAAAAAUAGAAAUAAGAGAGGAGUGGUGAAUGUUGGGAAGAGUGAUUUUUCUCCGCCACUGUUAAGUUAUUCGCAUCUACCAUCGUCUCAAUGUUCACUAUUAGUUUUCAAUUUUGAGAAAAGGAAAGUGGAAAAAGGUCCAUAAUUUCUUUUCUCAGCAUACUGUUCACCAACUUACCUUUAUUUUCUUUCUUCCAAAACUGCAUGAUACUCCCUCUAUACAAACUAACCACUAAUAUAUAUAAUAUUUAUUGUUAUAUAGUUUUUUAGAUAAUAGUUUUUUUUAAGUUUUCAUAUAUUUAUAUAUCGUUUAUUGUUGUAUAGAUUUUUAGAUAUUAAUUUUUACUUCAG
rnacentral:lncRNA from 1 species